CUUAGACUAAUUCAUUGAAGUUGAUUCUUAUUUUGAUUUCGUCGUUGGACAAUAAAAAAAAAUGUCAGUUAUGAAUAUGAUGUUGUAAUGUAAUAAUACACAUGAAUGAGUUUUAUAAUGAGUUAUGUCACGCAAUAAUUGACUCUGUGUAGAGUCAACUUACUUUAAAAUUAUUUACUUUUAAAAAUUAUAAACAACAUAUUUACAACACACACACACAAAAAAAAAAAAAAAA
rnacentral:lncRNA from 1 species